CCUACGGGAGGCAGCAGUGGGGAAUAUUGCACAAUGGGGGAAACCCUGAUGCAGCGACGCCGCGUGAGUGAAGAAGUAAUUCGUUACGUAAAGCUCUAUCAGCAGGGAAGAAAAUGACGGUACCUGAGUAAGAAGCCCCGGCUAACUACGUGCCAGCAGCCGCGGUAAUACGUAGGGGGCAAGCGUUAUCCGGAUUUACUGGGUGUAAGGGGAGCGUAGACGGUGCGCCAAGUCUGGAGUGAAAUGCCGCAGCUUAACUGCGGAACUGCUUUGGAAACUGGCGAACUGGAGUGCGGGGGGGGUAGGAGGAAUUCGGGGGGUAGUGGGGAAAGGCAUAGAUAUAAGAGAGAACACCGAGGGAGAAGGCGUCUCACGGACCCGUAACUGACGUGGAGGCACGAAAGCGUGGGGAGAAAACAGGAUUAGAUACCCGGGUAGGC
rnacentral:rRNA from 1 species